rnacentral:rRNA from 1 species
GAUGAACGCUGGCGGCGUGCUUAACACAUGCAAGUCGAACGGUGAAGGCGGAGCUUGCUCUGCUGGAUCAGUGGCGAACGGGUGAGUAACACGUGAGCAAUCUGCCCCUGACUCUGGGAUAAGCGCUGGAAACGGCGUCUAAUACUGGAUACGAGCUGCGAAGGCAUCUUCAGCAGCUGGAAAGAACUUCGGUCAGGGAUGAGCUCGCGGCCUAUCAGCUUGUUGGUGAGGUAACGGCUCACCAAGGCGUCGACGGGUAGCCGGCCUGAGAGGGUGACCGGCCACACGGGGACUGAGAGAGGGCCCAGACUCCUACGGGAGGCAGCAGUGGGGAAUAUUGCACAAUGGGCGAAAGCCUGAUGCAGCAACGCCGCGUGAGGGACGACGGGCUUCGGGUUGUAAACCUCUUUUAGCAGGGAAGAAGCGAAAGUGACGGUACCUGCAGAAAAAGCGCCGGCUAACUACGUG